rnacentral:rRNA from 1 species
UACGUAGGGUGCAAGCGUUGUCCGGAAUUAUUGGGCGUAAAGAGCUCGUAGGCGGUCUGUUGCGUCGGCUGGUGAAAACCCGGGGCUCAACCCCGGGCCUGCAGCCGAUACGGGCAGACUAGAGUUCGGCAGGGGAGACUGGAAUUCCUGGUGUAGCGGUGAAAUGCGCAGAUAUCAGGAGGAACACCGGUGGCGAAGGCGGGUCUCUGGGCCGAUACUGACGCUGAGGAGCGAAAGCCAGGGGAGCAAACGGG